UUGAGGAGGUACACCACUUCCCUAAACCAUAUAGUAUGAAUAUUUGUGAUUUUCCUGAAAUUGAAAUAGAACUUGUCCAGUAGUCAUAAAAGAAAUUUGCAGCAUUGAAAUGUGCUUCCUGUCAAAAGCUGUUGUAGGAGCUAGAUCUGUAGUUGCGAGACAUUUUAUUACAAGAUGUCAAAUUUGUUUAUGUGUGGGUUUGCAGAAUAAGCUUAUCACGGUCACACCAGAAACUAAAGUUUUGAAAGCAAUGCAAUGGAUGGCGGGUGCAAUUUUCUGCUUCAUUUCUAAAACCUCUAGACAUUUUUAGUAUAUUUGCUUCAAACACAACAAAAUACGCUUAAAUUCUUUGCAACAUGUUAAUAUUAAUUGAAAUGUGGAAGUCCACCAAGUUUCCUUAUAUGAGUAAUUGACACAUCUUUUUUAUAAGCAACAAAGAAUUAUAUUAUUUGUAGUACCUAGGGGGUGCUUUGCUUCCUUACAUCAUCCUCUCAGCUUCCUGUACAUUUUCUUUCUUUGUGUAUAAGAAUUUAAGAAAUCUUUUUUCACUGUUGAGAGUGAGCUCUUCUCUUCCUUUAGUACACUCUGGAACUGUUUUAUUCGGUUUCUCUAUUUAUCCAAGGAUGAUAGCUAGACUUGAUUGCUGAAGAAUGAAAAUGAGUCCUAAUAGAGUGGAAUAGGCUUGACAUGUAAUAAUUGUUGGUCUAGUAUUUGAUUGUUGAAAGAAAAUAAAGAAAACAGAGUGAGAUCCAUGGGUUUCAGGAGAGAACUACCACUACGGAAGAUUCCUUCUGAUAACUGACAUUUAUUUUCUCACGGUUACUUCGAAAGGAGAAGUAAAGGAAAAAAGGAAAAUUUCAACUAAACUAAGAACGUAAAAGAUGGAAAAGCAAGCAUUCUUACUGCCGCGCUUAUCAGAUUUCUUCUGUGGUCAAUCAAUCCAUUGACCAGUUAUCUGUUAGUAUUGACGUAAUCUUUCUUAUUACAUCAAAAUCUCUUUAAUAUUAGAGAUUAGGGUUUUCGUGAAUUGAUGGAACAGUAAUGUUUUUUUGUUGGAUGUUGCAGUAAAAUUUAAAAUCAUAUGAUUAAUGGUGGAAAGUUUAAAAUCAUAUGGUUAAUGGUGGACCUUAUUGAGUUAAUCACAGUAUUCAGAGGGAUAACAGUUCUACAAAAAAAAAAAAAAAAAAAAGAUUUCUCUAUAAGAUAAUAGCUUUAUUUUCAUUUUUGGAUUGAAAAGCAUUAUCUAAAAUUUUGCAUCUUCUUGUUGAAUAUUUUCCUAGACGUUAUCUUAAUCCACUACUUAGCUUUGAGAUUUGGCGGAUCUUUUGUGGGUGUCUUUAGAGCAAGAUUUAGGCUUCUGUUGUAGCCAAAAUUGAACUGUUAUCUGUCUAAACUCAAAGCAAUCAUAUUUCAUGGAGAAGUACUUAAGAAUGGUGUUCUAGAAUGACUUUGCAUCUCACCAUUGACUUUACAUAGAGUGAAUGUGCAUUUAUGUAUCACUUAUGUGAUGUUGCUUCUGUAGCGAGAAUUUGAGAUAACUGAUUGAUUGCUUAGAUGCAUAUGACACACCAUAAUGUUAGGACCAUGGUGGUUUUGGAUACUGGGGAAAACAAGUCACUUGCUGGAAUUAUUAGAGAAUGAGGUUGCCUACUCACUGUGGUGUAAAAUUCAGAAAGAUGGCAAGUUUAUUGUCAAAGUAGUUAUAGAUCUUUUGGGGAAUAUGGUAGACAAUUGCACCCCCAAAGCCACAUGUUUUGGGGAACUUGUUCGAAACUUAUAAAAAUCUUUGGGGAAUAUGGGAGGCCUUCAAAAGGUCUGGCAAUGGAGAAUAUAUUUGGACGACAAUUGCACCCCCAAGAGCCACCUGUUUCACUUGUAUCAGCACUCACAGAGCUUGUUUUUUGGAGCAGAUGCUUUCUGUGUGAAAGUGCCAAUGAAUUAGUAAAUCAUCUACUGCUUCCUUGCACCUUAACUAGACAGAUCUGAACAAUGUUUCGCAUUAUUUUUGGUGUCCAAUGGGUCAAUGCCGGGAUGCUAUAAACUUGCACUAAGCAGCUGGUACGAGCAGUCUUCAUCAAGGGACAACGAGCACUCACACAACUGGUGUAGGAAGAAUGUUGUAUCUGACUCAUUGUUAGAUCUUUUGUACUCCUCUCUGAUGUAUUCCUCUUGGUACCUAUUUGGCACUUAUUAAUAAUAUAUUCUUACCUUUGAUUUAAAAAUAAAAAAUGUUCACCUGUACUUGGACGAAUUGUCGUUGGAAUUCGAAACGAUUGUACUCUGUAUCAUCAUUGUCAACUAAAGUAGGAGAUGGAGGGAACUGAUUUUUUUGAAGACGUAGUCAUCUGUCUGCAGCUGUACUUUUUUUGUUCUUUAUUUUAGAUUUUAACUAAGUGUGAAUUUUGAUCCUUCAAAAUUUCCCAUAAGUUAACACUUUUAACCCUACUGGAGUGAGAUUUGAUUGAGAUUGAAGCUUCCAAAUAUUUUACUGCAA